CUUCAAGCAACAGAGGUACCAUGCAGGAUGAAUAAUAGGGGCCAUCCUACAGUGGUGCUCCAAGCAGACAGGAAACAUGGCCCAGAAGCAUGGAGGCGCAUCUGUGUCUUGUUUCAGGAAGAAUCAUGCUGCUUGGUCUCCUCCAGUAGAACACGCACAUUCCAUCUCUGAAGAAAGAAAAUUUCAACAGUCCUGGCUCAUUCUAUCCUUUGUUCUCUUUGUGCCCUACAAGGCACAGUGGUCAUAAAGGCUCAGAGGUGCAUCCUGUGCUCUCCGUACAUCCGUUCCAGCAGGUGGAAUAAAAAUCCUGUCAGUGGAUGUGAAUCUCCUAUUGUGAUCCCUGAAGUUCCGCUGAGCUCAAGACAGAUGGACACCCUGCAGCAGCUGCACAAAAUGGCUCUCAGAUCUGACCCGCAUACAAAGCAGAGAGCAUGAGAGUGCUCCAAAGAGAGCUGGCAGCCUCUUGACGUCCGUAAAAUACAAGGCUGGCUCUGGCUUUGACCCUCGCACAUCCCCUAAAACAUGGUAAAGGAAUAGAGAAGUGCUGCACUGCAUUCUUGGAAUUAUUCCAGUCAAUUUGAAUAUAUGACCAAUAUUUGAAUGUAAGACCAUUUAUCAGCUAUUCUGUGUUAUCUGAUAAUACGCUAUCAUCCUUCCAACCUCAAAGACCAGGAGACUAAAUGGUUCAAUAGUGUUUUUUCUUUUCUGUGGCAUUUCCAGGUGACAUAUCUUAUAGUGAGAUAAAAAUAAGGGUAAUACUGUUAGACUGUCUCUUUUCUAGCUGCACAAAAAUAUCCCAUCCUGCCCAUGUGGGACGUGGAUGGCAGGAAACUGACCCGCCUGGCGAGGAGAGAUGGUUGCCUCCAGGAAGGAGUCAAGAGGCCAAACACUGGACACAGGGUGAGGAGUGAGUGCUUGCCAACUCUGGAAAGGAGUCCUAUGCCUGGAUCUUGUCCCAUUGUGCUGGCUGAGCACCACAGGGGACUUUCAAGUGGCACAAAUUCUCGGCUGCACACGGUACCUAAGCCACAGACUGAAAAAUUAUGCAAGCAGGGUCCAGUGCUAAGAAACAGACUAGUGGGACCAAAGGAAGUAGAAUCAAGGUCCUUGCACAAGUAAACUUGGUUUGUGAAUGGGAGAUACAGGAAAAUGUGAAACAGAGAAGACAGAAAACUGACCAGGCAAACUCUCCUGCUCCC
ensembl:lncRNA